UACAGAGGGGGCAAGCGUUGUUCGGAAUUACUGGGCGUAAAGGGCGCGUAGGUGGCCUUCUAAGUUGAACGUGAAAUCCCUGGGCUCAACCCAGGAACUGCGUCCAAGACUGGGAGGCUUGAAUCCGGGAGAGGGAUGCGGAAUUCCAGGUGUAGCGGUGAAAUGCGUAGAUAUCUGGAGGAACACCGGUGGCGAAGGCGGCAUCCUGGACCGGUAUUGACACUGAGGCGCGAAAGCGUGGGGAGCGAACGGG
rnacentral:rRNA from 1 species